GGGUGCAAUCAUACAAGCACUAAUGCACCGGAUCCUAUCAGAGCUCUACAGCUAACCGUGCUUGGGCGAAAGUAGUACUAGGAUGGCUGUCCUCCUGGGAAGUCCUCAUGUUGCACCCA
rnacentral:rRNA from 1 species